rnacentral:rRNA from 1 species
GCAGCACGGGAGCAAUCCUGGUGGCGAGUGGCGAACGGGUGAGUAAUAUAUCGGAACGUGCCCAGUCGUGGGGGAUAACGUAGCGAAAGCUACGCUAAUACCGCAUACGAUCUACGGAUGAAAGCGGGGGACUCGUAAGGGCCUCGCGCGAUUGGAGCGGCCGAUAUCAGAUUAGGUUGUUGGUGAGGUAAAAGCUCACCAAGCCUGCGAUCUGUAGCUGGUCUGAGAGGACGACCAGCCACACUGGAACUGAGACACGGUCCAGACUCCUACGGGAGGCAGCAGUGGGGAAUUUUGGACAAUGGACGCAAGUCUGAUCCAGCAAUGCCGCGUGCAGGACGAAGGCCUUCGGGUUGUAAACUGCUUUUGUACGGAACGAAACGGUCUGCUUUAAUACAGUGGGCUAAUGACGGUACCGUAAGAAUAAGCACCGGCUAACUACGUGCCAGCAGCCGCGGUAAUACGUAGGGUGCGAGCGUUAAUCGGAAUUACUGGGCGUAAAGCGUGCGCAGGCGGUUAUAUAAGACAGAUGUGAAAUCCCCGGGCUCAACCUGGGACCUGCAUUUGUGACUGUAUAGCUAGAGUACGGUAGAGGGGGAUGGAAUUCCGCGUGUAGCAGUGAAAUGCGUAGAUAUGCGGAGGAACACCGAUGGCGAANGCAAUCCCCUGGACCUGUACUGACGCUCAUGCACGAAAGCGUGGGGAGCAAACAGGAUUAGAUACCCUGGUAGUCCACGCCCUAAACGAUGUCAACUGGUUGUUGGGUCUUCACUGACUCAGUAACGAAGCUAACGCGUGAAGUUGACCGCCUGGGGAGUACGGCCGCAAGGUUGAAACUCAANNNAAUUGACGGGGACCCGCACAAGCGGUGGACGAUGUGGUUUAAUUCGAUGCNACGCGAAAAACCUUACCCACCUUUGAC